rnacentral:misc_RNA from 1 species
GGGGUGGAAAAGCUAAAACUCACAAUGUUCCUACCUUUAUGCAACUUUCCUUACUUUUGCAGGCAAUUCUGAUCAAGAGUAAUAUAUCCCGUUUCUCUGGAUUUGUGUGGCAUGAAAAUGAGGAAAAGCAAAAGAUUAAAGUAAAAGAAAAAUUUGACAAGUGUAAUAAAGAAAAAUUGUUGGAAUUUUGUGAUGUACUUGACAUACCAGUUGCCAAGGCAGCUACAAAGAAGGAAGAUAUCGUUGCAAAGUUGAUAGACUUUCUGGCAGCCCCUCAUGCUACAACUACUGUGCUACUUGCGGAAAAAGAAAAGGCAAAUAAGAGCAAAAAGCGCAAGAGGGUGACCAAAAGCUCAGCCUCUGGGAGUGUGUCUUCAACACGUUCAGCAAAGAGUCGAAAAAAGGCUGGGGAUGCUUCAAAAACUGAUAAAAAAGACACACCUGAUACAGAAGAUGAGUCAGAAGAAGAAAAAGAAGAGGAAGAGGAGGAAGAAGAAUAUAUAGAAAAGGAAAAUGAGAAUGGUGUUCCAGAGAAAUCUGAUGCUGAGAUGCCUGAGCAUUCUGAAAAUGAAGAAAAUGAGUCGGAGGAGGAAUCUCAAGCAGAUGUUGGCAAGCACAAAACAAGCUCAAAAACGUCGCCUAGAAAGAAGGAAUCUAUUGGAAAAGCUAGAACCCAGAGACUUUUCAUUAAAUCCAGUCCUCCACCAAAAAGAAUGCCUAAAAAAUCUUCAUCAAAACGCACUGAAGAGGAUGAUGGCAGUGAUGCAAGUCCGAAGGUUUUCUCAAGGAAGAAGAAAAAUGACAAAUUAGUAAAGGAGAAGUCCUCAACUCCUACAAAAUCUCCUUCCAAGGAGAGAACAGGUAAAAGGGCUGCAAAAGGGAAGGAAAAGGCUGAAGUCAAAGAGGAGAAAUUGAAGCCAACUGAUGAUGAGC